ensembl:snoRNA SNORD15 Small nucleolar RNA SNORD15
CUUCGGUGAUGAUACGAUGACGAGUCGGAAUGGGACAUUCAGUCUCUGCGGUCACUGGGUCAGGGACACGUUCUGUGUCUCUGGGUUCAGUUCCCCAGAGCAGCGUGUCUCUUCAGUUGAAGACAUCGAGGCAUUUGUCUGAGAAGG